UAUGUCAUAUAUUUAAUUUAAAUGAGGAAUGUUUACUAUAAAAAUGGAGUUUACAACUCAAAUAAAAAGUUAUUUCAUAACAUCCUGAUAUCCACACCAGAGUUCAAUGCCAGCACAAUUUGAAAGUGAAGCCAAUGCAGGUUUUCUAAAGAUUAUAAAAAGCAUGAAUGGUUAACAUUUUAGAAGACACUAAAUAUGAAAUAUUUAGAUUCUGUAAAUGAGAAAUCACAACAACCUCCAUUAAUUAGGGCAAUAUUAGAUAACCACAUCUCAAUUUUCAAAAAUGGGG